GAGACCUGUGCAACCUGUUGGCUAUAGCUACCAGGACAAGAAUUCUGUGAAGUUCUGAGAUGAAGAAGAAACCCAAGCACUGACGCUGGAGGGCUGUAUGCAUCUAUCUCACAUUGACAUGUUGCAGUUCACCGAAGUUAUAUAAAAUUAUCAUCUGAUCUCCCUUGCUGUCUCGAAGCAGUAUGAGAGCAAAGAAUGACUCGGCAGGAACAGAGAUAGUAAAUAUAAACGACCUCAUCAAAGGAGCAAGUGCCUCAGGAUGCACGUAACCUGCUCUCACAGCACUGACAGAAUAAUGCUGAUUCUAUUCUGAACACUUUCAUAACUUUUGAAACAUAAAAGAACUAGAUCUUGCUAUUUUUUUGCUUACAGUUGAAAAUUGACAAGAAUUAUGAGAUAUAUUAAAGUUAUUUCAGGUCACUGGUAUUCCAAAAAGUUACGAAAACUCAUAAUUAAAAACCAAUUGUACUCCAAAAAGUGACCACAUAAAAAUGAAAAGUUGAACUCAAAGCUGGUAUGCCCUGCACUCCACAUUGUAUUUCUCACAUUGUAGUGGUUUUGUGGCCUUGUAAAAAUUAUUUCUACCCUGUAACAGUUUUUUAAAAAGAAACUGAGAAAGAAAGGUGAGUGGGAAGGCACAUUCUUCUUUUGCCUCUCAGACCUGUAAACUCAAGAGCUGUAAAAGAUCUCCAGCACAUCUGCUUCAUUAGCACUCUUUUGGGAUAUGGAAACCAAGCUUUAUUGAUGGGCCCUAAACUGAAAUUUUAGAAUGAAUUUCACUCUGAAAUAAUAGUGAGUCACAUAUAUUUUACUACUAACUACGUUUAUAUGUUAGUAUAUAUAUUAUUAUAUAUUAGUUACUAGCUACUGAUGCACAAAUAAAUAAACAUGAAAUCUGUGAAGC
rnacentral:lncRNA from 7 species